rnacentral:pre_miRNA from 1 species
CAUGUACUCCCUCCGUUCCGAAUUACUUGUCGCACGUAUGGAUGUAUCUAGAUGCAUUUUAGUUCUAGAUACAUCCAUUUCAGCGACGAGUAAUUUGGAACGGAGGGAGUACUAA